AUUGAACGCUGGCGGCAGGCCUAACACAUGCAAGUCGAGCGGAUGAAGAGAGCUUGCUCUCUGAUUCAGCGGCGGACGGGUGAGUAAUGCCUAGGAAUCUGCCUGGUAGUGGGGGACAACGUUUCGAAAGGAACGCUAAUACCGCAUACGUCCUACGGGAGAAAGUGGGGGAUCUUCGGACCUCACGCUAUCAGACGAGCCUAGGUACGAUUAGCUAGUUGGUGAGGUAAAGGCUCACCAAGGCGACGAUCGUUAACUGGUCUGAGAGGAUGAUCAGUCACACUGGAACUGAGACACGGUCCAGACUCCUACGGGAGGCAGCAGUGGGGAAUAUUGGACAAUGGGCGAAAGCCUGAUCCAGCCAUGCCGCGUGUGUGAAGAAGGUCUUCGGAUUGUAAAGCACUUUAAGUUGGGAGGAAGGGCAGUAAGUUAAUACCUUGCUGUUUUGACGUUACCGACAGAAUAAGCACCGGCUAACUUCGUGCCAGCCGCCGCGGUAACAC
rnacentral:rRNA from 1 species